UAACGCUUCAAACACCCCGCAAACCGAGACCUCUAGGGUGUCUAAAUUACGUCUCUCAUAUCCUGUCUAAGGGUGACAGGAAAUAGUAACUCCA
rnacentral:ncRNA from 1 species